rnacentral:rRNA from 1 species
GACGAACGCUGGCGGCGUGCCUAAUACAUGCCAGUCGAACGCUUCUUUCCUCCCGAGUGCUUGCACUCAAUUGGAAAGAGGAGUGGUGGACGGGUGAGUAACACGCGGGUAACCUACCCAUCAGAGGGGGAUAACACUUGGAAACAGGUGCUAAUACCGCAUAACAGUUUAUGCCGCAUGGCAUAAGAGUGAAAGGCGCUUUCGGGUGUCGUUGAUGGAUGGACCCGCGGUGCAUUAGCUAGUUGGUGAGGUAACGGCUCACCAAGGCCACGAUGCAUAGCCGACCUGAGAGGGUGAUCGGCCACACUGGGACUGAGACACGGCCCAGACUCCUACGGGAGGCAGUAGUAGGGAAUCUUCGGCAAUGGACGAAAGUCUGACCGAGCAACGCCGCGUGAGUGAAGAAGGUUUUCGGAUCGUAAAACUCUGUUGUUAGAGAAGAACAAGGACGUUAGUAACUGAACGUCCCCUGACGGUAUCUAACCAGAAAGCCACGGCUAACUACGUG